UCCCUCUUAGCUCAGUUGGUAGAGCGCGUCACUAGUAAAUGUUAUGACGAGGUCAGUCGUUCAAGUCGGCUAGAGGGAA